GACGAACGCUGGCGGCGUGCUUAACACAUGCAAGUCGAACGGAAAGGCCUCUUUCGUGGGGUACUCUAGUGGCGAACGGGUGAGUGACACGUGAGUAACCUGCCCUUGACUUUGGGAUAACUUCAUUAAACUGGGGCUAAUACAUGCUAGGAGCUCUUUUGGCAUGGUGGGGUGUGGAAAGUUUCGGCGGUUGGGGGUGGACUCGCGGGGUAUCAGCUUGUUGGUGGGGUAGUGGGUUACCAAGGCUUUGACGGGUAGCCGGCCUGUGAGGGUGACCGGCAACAUUGGGACUGAGAUACGGCCCAGACUCCUAAGGGAGGCAGAAGUGGGGAAUAUUGCACAAUGGGUGGAAGCCUGAUGCAGCAACGCCGUGUGCGGGAUGACGGCCUUAGGGUUGUAAACCGCUUUUGCUCAUGACGAAGCUUUGUGUGACGGUAGUGGGUCAAGAAGCACCGGCUAACUACGUG
rnacentral:rRNA from 1 species